UGCCACCUGCCAAUAGAAAGCAUAAACUAAAGUGAGCUGCUUUCUCUUGCGAGGGAAAUGACAAGCACAACCACGACUACAGUUCUCCCAUUUUAUAGAAGAUAUUUUUUCCCCAAUUCUUCCCCGAAUAACCCAAUUCUUUCCUCAGUUCAUUCUACAAUAAAAACAUAAUGACACAUCCAAGUUUGCCUUCAAAGGAAGCGUAAAGUUACAGACACAGUAGUAAAGCUACAUCUGCUGGACAGAGCACUGUGGGACAUGGGGCAGAAUGAUCCCGUGUGAAGGAGCUCCAAGAUGCGACGGCUGCCUGCCAGCACAAAAGAUCCGUUUCCCACCCUUAACCACAGCUGAAACGUUCCUUCGCAGGAACCCUGCACACGAGGCACUCGGAACAUUCAGACGCUGCCAUCUCUUACCGCUGCCUGAAAUCCUCUCAGAUUCGGUGUCAGCACAGGAUAACUAAUACCAGGUAACUUAUUAAUUCCUUGCAUGACUUCAGUAUGGUCCGCCAUCUGCAAAGUAAACAAGGAAAGGUUUCUAAGGGUGACAACAUCCAUGCCUGCAAAUUAUAAAAUAAUUUUUAAAAUUUAUUUUUAGGAACUGGAGCAGCAAUAUUUAGGAAUAAGAGAAACGGGCCUCUAAAGAGCAAACAGCAUUGCACCCUGUGAAGGAUCAUAGUUCAGUCACCCAGCCAAGCCAGUGCCAACACGCACACAACCAGCUGUUUGUAUUGGAGCUGUAUGUUUGCUCUUUUGCAAGGUCCAAAGGGAAGGUCUGGGAUACUGCAAGCCCUUUUAUUUGGCUUUGCUGCUUCUUGCCCAGUUAUAAGUCACAGUAAUAAGGGUUUUGGAGCAAGCAAAAUAUUUUAUUGGAUUACUAUCUAUUAUUAGGCGUUUUUGUAAUAUACAAUUGUAACGCUCGUUUGCAUACUGACCUGAGGAACCCAUUUGGGGGAAACAAAGCUGGUGGCCUCUAUAACCUGAAGCCCCGUCUCUGACAGCAUAUUGAUUAGAUUGAUUUUCACCGGUGUCGGUACAACAUUCUGAGAAGAAGAGGAAAACGACCUUAGGUUGUUGUUUUCACAACAAACUUUUCCACCAACGCAAAACCCCCUUAUCUUUCAACAUCAAAAAGCGGCAUUAAAAAAACAAAACAAAACAAAACAACAUAAACCAGCCCGUCGGUGGGGCACAGCGGCACGUUACGGGUGUUUGGUUAGGGAAGGGCCCCCGCCCCUACCUUCUCGUUCUGCAGCCCGUCCCGCGGCCCCACCUCCACCACCUUCACACGCUUCGGGAAGGCUCCGGCCGCCGCGGCGCUGACCUGGGGACAGAGAGGGAGGGUCAGCCCAGCUCAGCCCCGCCCCGCCGCUCCCGGUCCCGGUCCCGCUCCCGGUCCCGCUCCCCCCCAGCCCCGCUCACCGGCCGCAGCGACACAGCCCAGCGCGGCAACAGCCGCCGCGCCGCCGCCAUGUCGGCCCGCUCUCACGUGACCACACCCACCACCACGUGACCCAAUCGGGGGGUGUGGCUUCGUGGUCACGUGGCAGCCGCGGUGCCGCGCUCUCCGCGUGGAGCCGGGACCGGGACCGGGACCGGGUCCGGGGCCAUCGUCCAUCCCCGCACCCCCCCCCCCCCCCCCCGGGCCCUCGCCGCCCGCCCCGGAGCGCCGCCGCGGGACCGGGGGAGCCGCCGCUCGUACCUGUCCCCGCGGGCCGUCCCGCGGCAGCGGCCCCGUGGCGCACUGCGGCAUGUUUCCGUCCCGGGACACCGGCACUGAGCGGCCCCUCGGGAGCCGCUUACUUAUACCGCGGCUUUUCCGCUGGCUCCGGUCGCUGAAUAAACACGGCGUGUUUGUUUUGGCCGGGCACCCUCCCCGCGCCAGAGGUUCCCGGCGUGACGGGGUUGGGAGGCAAAAAGGCCAUCGCUCUGGUGUCCCUUUUUUUUUUCCCCUCUCUGUGUUCGUAACGGCGUCAUCGCCAGCGCCGGGGGGAUGCUGCCGUAGGUAAGCAGGGCUCUGGCAGCCAGCGCCAGUUCUCUGAAGUCCACGCAGAUUCGUCAGUACAGAUAAUUAUUUGCCAAUUGAGUAACAGCUCCUACAGCACCGGCUGAGCACAUGUCCCAGCCCUGGGGCUCAGCGUGCGCUAAACCCCAAGUGUUCUACCAACUUUCGCUUGCACCACAUCGUACAGCAACAAAAUACAGCCUGCGUGCAACGUCGAGGGGCCUUCACAACAACGGCGCUGCAGAAACGCGCGCCAUCAUGAGGAGUUUCAUCAUUUAAGUACGUACUGUUCAACCCUUUCUAAAGGAGUUCAACGUCAAUGCAGGAAACCUUGUUUCACAAACGGUAGAAGUCAGAGGCUCAGUUCAGAACGGUGGCUUCUCUGUUGAAGUCACUUAAGAGCAAAAACUAUUCUGUUUAUAAAAGGGCAAUGAAGCUGGUGAAGGGUCUGGAGACCAGGUCUUAUGAGGAGAGGUUGAGGGGGCUGGGGGGGUUUAGCCUGGAGAAGAGGAGGCUGAGGGGAGCCCUUCUUGCUCUCUGCAACUCCCUGAGAGGGGCUGGAGUGAGGCGGGGGUUGGUUGGUCUCUUCUCCCAAGUCACCGUUGACAGGACAAAAAGUUGGACUUGAUGAUCCUAGAGGUCUUUUCCAACCCUAAUGAUUAUAUGAUUCUAUGAAUAUAAGUUUGUUAAUGGAUUUCUAUUAGUUUAUGAUUUUCUACAGCUGAUUUCUUCUAGGCCUCUUCAAACAAGAAGCUUCCAUUAUAUUUAUUUGGGAUGGAAGUAUGUGAUCACAACUGUUUCAAUCAAUACCAAAGCCAUACAACACACCUUAUCGAGUACCUGUUUUUACAAAGUAUAUCAUACACAGGAAUGUGUGA